GAUGAACGCUGGCGGCGUGCCUAACACAUGCAAGUCGAGCGGUAUAUACUGGAACGAAACUUCGGUCUAGAGAAGGUAUAGAGAGCGGCGGACGGGUGAGUAACGCGUAGGCAACCUGCCCCAUACAGAGGGAUAGCCUCGGGAAACCGGGAUUAAAACCUCAUAAUACGAGAGUUUCACAUGUUACUCUCGUCAAAGAUUUAUCGGUAUGGGAUGGGCCUGCGUCUGAUUAGCUAGUUGGUGAGGUAACGGCUCACCAAGGCAACGAUCAGUAGCCGACCUGAGAGGGUAAUCGGCCACAUUGGAACUGAGACACGGUCCAAACUCCUACGGGAGGCAGCAGUGGGGAAUCUUGCACAAUGGGCGAAAGCCUGAUGCAGCAACGCCGCGUGAGCGAUGAAGGCCUUUGGGUCGUAAAGCUCUGUCCUUGGGGAAGAAAAAAAUAGACGGUACCCUUGGAGGAAGCCCCGGCUAACUACGUG
rnacentral:rRNA from 1 species